rnacentral:lncRNA from 1 species
CGACAUCUGCUCCCAUCUAAGUGGAUGAUCAUCGCAAAAGAAAACACACACAAACAAGGCACAACACAAGCAAGGGUGAGCUAAUUAUAUAAAAAGCAUACAAUAUAAUAGUAUGUGCACAAAAGAGUUAACUUCAAUCAAGCAAGAUGAACACGUAUCCUAACAUGUUAUAUUCUAGACUAGACUCGUCCAGACUUUAGAAUGAUAGUCGAGUUAUGGCUGGUCAUGCACCCGUGGUGACUUAUGAUACUUGGGUUUCCCACCUUGCCACACUCACGAGGUUAGCCUGUUUCGGUCCUUGAGGCAUACUGACAGCUCCCAAGACUAAGACCUCCUUCUACUACUCACUACAUGGUUCAAUCCUCUCUACAUGAGAAGAAAGACCAUUGGAGCAUCAAGAAGACCCCUAAGACUGAGCUCCUACUUUCAUUCUAAACACUAAGAAUCUCA